rnacentral:miRNA from 1 species
AUACUGGCCCACAAAAUUUCUUU